rnacentral:rRNA from 1 species
CAGCCGCGGUUAUUCCAGCUCUCAAAAUGCAUAGAAUUAUUGCUGCGGUUAAAAAGCUCGUAGUUGGAUCUGUGCCUGUGCUCUGGUCCACCUCGCGGUGCGCACUGGGUGUCACAGGCUUUCCUGCAGUGUUCAGCCCCGGCGCCUUCACCGGCACCGGUGUGUUGAUGCUGCAAGUUUACUUUGAACAAAUCGGAGUGCUCCAAACAGGCGUUUGCUUGAACGUUCGUGCAUGGAAUAAUAGAAGAGGAUUUCGGUUCAAUUUUAUUGGUUUUAUUGGCCGAGAUAAUGGUUAACAGAGACAAACGGGGGCAUUUGUAUUGCUGCGUGAGAGGUGAAAUUCUUGGACCGUAGCAAGACAAACUACCGCGAAAGCAUUUGCCAAGAAUGUCUUCACUUAAUCAAGAACGAAAGUCAGAGGUUCGAAGGCGAUCAGAUACCGCCCUAGUUUAAACCGUAAA